rnacentral:rRNA from 1 species
GACCAGACUCCUACGGGAGGCAGCAGUGGGGAAUAUUGCGCAAUGGGGGCAACCCUGACGCAGCAACGCCGCGUGAUUGAAGAAGGCCUUCGGGUUGUAAAGAUCUUUAAUCAGGGACGAAAAAUGACGGUACCUGAAGAAUAAGCUCCGGCUAACUACGUGCCAGCAGCCGCGGUAAUACGUAGGGAGCAAGCGUUAUCCGGAUUUACUGGGUGUAAAGGGAGCGUAGACGGCAGCGCAAGUCUGAAGUGAAAUGCCGGGGCUUAACCCCGGAACUGCUUUGGAAACUGUGUAACUGGAGUACAGGAGGGGCAGGCGGAAUUCCUGGUGUAGCGGUGAAAUGCGUAGAUAUCAGGAGGAACACCGGCGGCGAAGGCGGCCUGCUGGACUGAAACUGACGUUGAGGCUCGAAAGCGUGGGGAGCAAACAGGAUUAGAUACCCGGGUAAA